UCAAACUUGGUCAUUUAGAGGAAGUAAAAGUCGUAACAAGGUUUCCGUAGGUGAACCUGCGGAAGGAUCAUUAACGCAUCUCUGGCGGCGAGGGUGCGCCCAGCUCCGGACCGAAAGGCCGUGCAGCGGGCUAUCCCGGACCGCUAAACCUUUGCAAACCCACUGUGCACUUUUGUCGGCAAAAGGGCCUUUGCGGGCCCCGAGCCGGAUCACAAACACUUUGUUAAACGAAUGCAAGCGGACAUUGAGCCGUCUAAACUUUAACAACUUUCAACAACGGAUCUCUUGGCUCUCGCAUCGAUGAAGAACGCAGC
rnacentral:misc_RNA from 1 species